CUAGGCCCUCUGCACUGUGGUCAGUUUGCCCCACAGGUACUCAGCAAGGUAAAUGGGGCUGGGAGAAGUGGUAUGGGAGAAGGAAGGAGAGCAGGGCAUGCUGAGAAGACAGUGCUUUCCUGUGUGCAGUGCUGUGAGUAAAUACGAUAUAAUGCAACAGGACAUGAGUUGACUGGGCUUCCUGUCUAAUUUCUCCAAGAUAAGGAGGCUGCAAAGCUCAGAAUCCUCAGAACUCAACCUGCCCUGAUAGCAUCUGAGCCACCAUGGGAACCCGAGGUGACGCGUAUCCAUUGGGGCUCUGCAUCGCCCUGUGCCUGGGGGGCACCGUGGCCCAGAAUAAUGGCGUAGAAGGUACCACUGAGGACUGUAACAACCAUGUGCUGUGCCCAGCAAACGCCAAGUGUGUGAACAACACUCACUGCACCUGCCUGGAUGGAUACCAGCCACAUGGGAAUCGCUUCUUCACCGACCCAACGGAGCCCUGUG